GGGAUGGCUUCAGCAGCACAUGUAGUAAGGUCAGAAGAACACAGAGAACCUUAACAUGGCCCCUGCACAAGGACGACACGCAAAUUUGCCAUGAGCCUGUAUCUCUC
ensembl:snRNA U6 U6 spliceosomal RNA